AACACGGAACAUCUUUCAAGGUCACCAUGAGUGCCGACCGUUUGCACUGCAUCGGAAUAUGCAAUUAUUCAUAAAACUAAUUCACCGGCUAUGGAAAAAGAAACUUUCCGAUAAAUAUAUGCUUGGUGUUCUAAGGGUUAUUUAUACUGGGAAAAUAGAUGAGAUUGAUCAUCAUUAUUUACAUAGACUAAACCAAUACACCCAAACUGUGUGAAACUGUCAUCUGAUUACAUCUACAGAGUAGGAUUUGGAGAGGGAUAUGUGUUGAAUAGAAUUGGAACUUUGGUCCAAUUGAAAUAAUUCCAUCAUGUGAAAGACAGAGGGAAAAAGGGACAUAGAAGGCCGCCCAUGAAGAGUAUGCAUUAUUCAAAAGGUGUUCUUUUUCGCUGGAUAUAAAUAAGGUCACUGAUACCGAUUCUAGGGUUUAUGCUAUGGAAUUUCCAACAGCGACUCGUCAUGAAGGCCGGGUAUUGAAGCAAAUAGAGGAAUGAAAUCCAAUUCAGGCCAUGUGAGUGGAUGACCUUCUUUGAAAACUAUUGCUACUGAUGACAGAAUUUGAGUCACUGUCCAGAAGUGUAAAUACAGCCCAUGACGAGAGAUUCUACUUGGAGAAUUUGACCCCAUGAGUUAGAUUGGAGAGAGCUGCUCCGAAGAAAUCAACUGUAAAAGUAGCGGAAGACAGAAGUAAAAGAGAAAAAACUGUUAUCAUCAAAUUCAAGAAAAAUUUGGGCUCCCCCUGAAAGUGAGCAAAAUCAGGGAUUAAAUAACCAGAAAUAUAAUGGAACAUCAGUAAAACAGUUGGAAGAGAAACAUCGUUCAAAAAUAUACUGAGAAUACCUUUUGUUUCUGAGCUGAUGUGAAGCUUUAAUGUGCAGAUUAAAAAACUCAUAUAGCAUCAUCAAACAUAAUACAACGAUAACAUCAUCAAUCUAUGGCCUGGAGAAUUAUUUGAAUUUUAAGGGAAAAUUUAAAAAUUAUUCUUUCAAGCAUCUAGUCAGUAUAGGCAUAAUACAAAUGAACCAUAUUCAGAGUGAUUAAACACAAAAAGUGCAUAAGCAGGGAAUCUACAGAAGAUGAUGAAUUUACAAAUCUUGCUGUUUGGAUGAUGAAGAUGAAUCUACAGAAUUGGGGAAGACAGAGGCUAAAUAUAGACCAUACACAGGUAUUCAUGUAGAAGGGUCCAGAUGAUUUAGCCCUACUUCUAUUGAUAAAAUAAUGUUGAGGCUUGAAGCAAAUCAUUUAAGUCUUCUUGUCUCUACUUUCUUCAUUUGUGAACAUUGCACAUCUUAGUGAUGUCAAAGUACUAAUUAGUAUUUUAAAGUCCCACACACAUGCUGACUCUUUUCUCUUUUCCAGGAUAUUGUUUUCAGGAAAGUUCUGUGAUCAUGAGUUACCUAGCCUGUCACCCUUACUCAAAACCAUCAUUCCUAAGACUGUAGACCUUUCUAUCUCAUUGUCACUUUUCCAGUUCAGGCAAGAGUAAUUCCAUUUAUCUCAUUUGUAUUCAAAUGACAGUACACAAAAUAAAAGCUAUGAAAUUUUCUUGAUUUUUUUUUUCAAAUGGGUUUUGCUUCUACAAAGUCUUUAAAAUAGCUUCUCUAAGUUGAAACUGUGAUACAAUUCAUUGACUUCAUCUAUGUUUGCCUCCUGCUUCACCACUAGCACAUUCCCAGCCUGGUGUUUUCUGAAUGCCAUGACAAGAUUAAAAAAAAAAAAAAAAUGUUUGCUAUUUUCAUGCCUGUGUUCAUCUGAUGUUGAAAGACUCCUUUCAAAAAAGACUUUAUAAUAAAUCAAUUUGAGGAACAUACGUCCAUUCUUGUAUAAUUGCUGCAGAGAAAAGCAAAUCAAACAAACAGAAAAGCAUGAGAAUUCAAUUCAUACCAUUCCAACGCAUAGUUUUUUUGUUCUACGCAAAGAUAAUAAGAAAUCUAGGUUGUUGAAUGAGGUUCCAUAGUUGCUAUAUGAGCAGUUCUUGAUGAAAACUCCACAAAUUUUAAGAUCUUCAGAGAAUCAAAUGGGGGGAUUGAGAAAAAAGGAACAUGCCAUUUUCUGAAAUGAUUUCAAGUAUGUAUAAAUGACUUAUAUAAAUGAAGAAUUCAAAAGCAUUUAGAGGUAAUCAGAGAAUUGCCUGAUGAUGCUUUUUUUCUACAUGUCUUUAUUAAGCUCUGGAACCCAUGC